ensembl:lncRNA
CUCUCUCUCGCUCUCACUCUCAUUGUUGAUUAGGGUGGAGGUUGAAACUGGAUUUAACUGACGCUUAAAGAAAGAAAGUAACGUGAAAUAGAGUAGCAUAACAGAGCAUGUGUUGUAUAUGUUUUUUUAGAUAUCUCUGUAUGAAUAUAAAGAAUGUUUACUGCACGGAACGAACAGAUGAAGUUGUGGAGUUGUAGAUUUUUUGCGGGCAACGGAAUUGGCCUAGUCUGCACCCUAAGCCUGACUCCAUAUUGCCGCCAGGUGUAGGCUGACUCCGGUACGGACAUCGAACUGGUCAGCACCAUAGACAGACGUCCUCCACCGGUACGCUGCUUUACUAUGCCCUUUUUUCUUCUGUCCGCUCUCUUAGUUCUUUUUCAGUCCCAACUUUUUCCAAACGUGUUUUUAAACUGCAUUUUAUUUACGAUCGAGUCUUGCCAUUUCUUCUUAGUUUAAAAGUCGCGACAGCUCUCCACAUUGCUGUAAAAAUAAGCUCCGAAAUCGCUUCAUAAGCAAACACUUUUGUAAUAUUUUACUUUUUGAUUUUAAGUAAGAAAUACCAGAGCACUACAUUAGGUUCAUUUCUGAAAUAAAUGUAGGUCAACUGCGGUCAAAGAUUUAACAUACUUAAAAAAUAAAAAAAAGUAAUUUUGCUGGUUUGGUUGUUGUCAGAUAUUUUUGUCCACGUACUGUUUGACGAGUCACAACUCAUUCGUUUCCAGUUUGUAAAAAAUCGGCAAGCAAAUAACAGCAAUGGGUUUUUCCUGGGUGGUCGUACGAUGCCAUGGAAACACAUUUGAAAUGGAGUGGCACUGUACCAUGAAUCAUGGCAUUUCUAAU